rnacentral:rRNA from 1 species
UAGGGAAUCUUCGGCAAUGGGGGGAACCCUGACCGAGCAACGCCGCGUGAGUGAAGAAGGUUUUCGGAUCGUAAAGCUCUGUUGUUAAGGAAGAACGAGUGUGAGAAUGGAAAGUUCAUACUGUGACGGUACUUAACCAGAAAGGGACGGCUAACUACGUGCCAGCAGCCGUGGUAAUACGUAGGUCCCGAGCGUUGUCCGGAUUUAUUGGGCGUAAAGCGAGCGCAGGCGGUUAGAUAAGUCUGAAGUUAAAGGCAGUGGCUCAACCAUAGUAGGCUUUGGAAACUGUUUAACUUGAGUGCAGAAGGGGAGAGUGGAAUUCCAUGUGUAGCGGUGAAAUGCGUAGAUAUAUGGAGGAACACCGGUGGCGAAAGCGGCUCUCUGGUCUGUAACUGACGCUGAGGCUCGAAAGCGUGGGGAGCGAACAGG